GCCGUUGACGCCAGCGGCCUUGCCGUUGACGGGUACGACACUAUCCAUCUGGUGGAAUCGCGCGUCCAUCGAAGUCGCGUACUCCAGAUCGAGGUAAGGAUCCACAUCUGAAAAGAAGUAGUCCGCUGAUUUAAGAUCCGGCGCUCCCGUCAAGCCCUUGGAGUGAGCAUGGCCAAGGUUCGGGAGAAUCCAUGAGGCAUCGGCCCCCGCGUCGUUCUCGUCUUCCUCGUUGUUGCCGUCGCCGGCGCAAACUGCCGCGCCGAACGGGAACGCAGCGGCGGCCGAGGAUGGCUUGACGUGAGCGGCGAGGGGCUCCAGGAAGGGGACGAUGGGGACUCGCUCGUGGCGGCGGGCGAGGGGGUUGGCGGAAUGGAUGUCGGCGUCGCAGGACUCGCAAAGGGCAGCGGCGUCGGCCUUGCAGGUGACGACGGCAGGCGCCUGCUCACACACCGCACACAACCACACGCGCUCGUGGCCGGAAGGGAGUCGGUUCGCCUCGUGCACCCGCGCGUCGCACCCCCCGCACAG
rnacentral:lncRNA from 1 species